UACGUAGGGUGCGAGCGUUAAUCGGAAUUACUGGGCGUAAAGGGCGCGUAGGCGGCCUCCUAAGUCGGACGUGAAAGCCCCAGGCUUAACCUGGGAACUGCGUCUGAUACUGGGAGGCUUGAAUUCGGGAGAGGGAUGCAGAAUUCCAGGUGUAGCGGUGAAAUGCGUAGAUAUCUGGAGGAAUACCGGUGGCGAAGGCGGCAUCCUGGACCGACAUUGACGCUGAGGAGCGAAAGCUAGGGGAGCAAACAGG
rnacentral:rRNA from 1 species